UACGGAGGGGGCUAGCGUUGUUCGGAAUUACUGGGCGUAAAGCGCGCGUAGGCGGAUCUGCAAGUCGGGGGUGAAAUCCCGAGGCUCAACCUCGGAACUGCCUUCGAUACUGCGGGUCUCGAGUCCGGGAGAGGUGAGUGGAAUUCCUAGUGUAGAGGUGAAAUUCGUAGAUAUUGGGAAGAACACCAGUGGCGAAGGCGGCUCACUGGCCCGGUACUGACGCUGAGGCGCGAAAGCGUGGGGAGCAAACAGG
rnacentral:rRNA from 1 species